UACGGACUAUCAACUAAGUGAUUGUUUCCACAUUCAGGGAAACCUAGGGUGAAAUAAACAUAUUAGGUAAUCCUGAGCCAAAUUUUGUUUACAAAAUAGGUGCAGAGACUCAAAGGAAACUAUCCUAAUGAAAAAAUUUUCCGAUAUUUUUCAAUUACGAUUCUUAUGGCAUCUUACUAUUAAUAAAUAGUAAUAUGAAUAAUAAUAUUAUAAUGGUCAAUGUUAAUAAAAUGACUACUUUUUCAGUACGUAAUUGCAGACGAGGAUAAAGAGAGAGUCCUUUUUUACAAGUUAUAUCUAUUUAGCAGCGGUGUAAAUCAUCGUAAAAAGAAAAUCCGUUGGCUUUAUAGACCAUGAGGGUUCAAGUCCCUCUACCCCCA
rnacentral:tRNA from 1 species